AUUCAUUCUGGUAAUUGACUAAGACGAUAUCUUCUAUAUCAGUGGUCACCAACCCUUUCUGAGUCAUGAUCACUUUGAGACAAAAUGCAAAGUGAUCAUGAUGAUUUUUUUUAACAUGACUUAAAAACAUAAUCAUCCUAUGCAACAUUAACCUAUUUAAAGCAGUACUGCAGUAAUGAGGUUUGUUCAGCAGGCUAUAGGCCCAAUACAUUAUCACUGCAUAUUGGCUUUGCUUGAAUUGCCCUGCUAAUACAUUGUUGUUCAGAACAUUUUACAAAAAACAUCUAAUCACACCGGUACUCAGAUCAGUUGUUGUUUCAUUAGUUGUGAGGAAUAGCUGAGUGAGCAGACAUUUAAAUACUUGGCUUUUAUUUUACUGGGCUGAUGGUUCCUGCAUCUGAUGGCCAGUCUCAGCAGAGGGAGAGAGCAGCAGAUUGAGGGUCCGUCUCAGCAGAGGGAGAGAGCAGCAGAUUGAGGGUCCGUCUCAGCAGAGGGAGAGAGCAGCAGAUUGAGGGUCCGUCUCAGCAGAGGGAGAGAGCAGCAGAUUGAGGGUCCGUCUCAGCAGAGGGAGAGAGCAGCAGAUUGAGGGUCUGUCUCAGCAGAGAGAGAGAGAGCAGCAGAUUGAGGGUCCGUCUCAGCAGAGGGAGAGAGCAGCAGAUUGAGGGUCCGUCUCAGCAGAGAGAGAGAGAGCAGCAGAUUGAGGUUCUGUCUCAGCAGAGGGAGAGAGAGCAGCAGAUUGAGGGUCCGUCUCAGCAGAGGGAGAGAGCAGCAGAUUGAGGGUCCUUCUCAGCAGAGGGAGAGAGCAGCAGAUUGAGGGUCCGUCUCAGCAGAGGGAGAGAGCAGCAGAUUGAGGGUCCUUCUCAGCAGAGGGAGAGAGCAGCAGAUUGAGGUUCUGUCUCAGCAGAGGGAGAGAGCAGCAGAUUGAGGGUCCGUCUCAGCAGAGGGAGAGAGCAGCAGAUUGAGGGUCCGUCUCAGCAGAGGGAGAGAGCAGCAGAUUGAGGGUCCGUCUCAGCAGAGGGAGAGAGCAGCAGAUUGAGGGUCCGUCUCAGCAGAGGGAGAGAGCAGCAGAUUGAGGGUCCGUCUCAGCAGAGGGAGAGAGCAGCAGAUUGAGGGUCCGUCUCAGCAGAGGGAGAGAGCAGCAGAUUGAGGGUCAGUCUCAGCAGAGGGAGAGAGCAGCAGAUUGAGGGUCUGUCUCAUCAGAGGGAGAGAGCAGCAGAUUGAAGGUCCGUCUCUCAACAUCCCUCUGCUCUCCCUUUCCUCCACUGACACUGACCAUAAAGGGACCCCGUCUUCCAGCUGAUGGCGAAACUCGUGUCGCACCGCAUUAUUUCUGUCUCGUUCACAAAUUCAUGUUGUUACUCCUUUGAACAGAGAAAGGGAAAUACUCCUUGAUAUUAAAAGACCCAAAGCCGCUGUCACGUUCUGACCUUUAUUUCCUGUGUUUUGUAUUUAGUUAGUAUGGUCAGGGCGUGAGUUGGGUGGGCAGUCUAUGUUUGUUUUUCUAGGUUUUGGGAAUUUCUAUGUUUCGGCCUAGUAUGGUUCUCAAUCAGAGGCAGGUGUCAUUAGUUGUCUCUGAUUGAGAAUCAUACUUAGGUAGCCUGGGUUUCACUGUGUGUUUGUGGGUGAUUGUUCCUGUCUCUGUCUUUGCACCAGAUAGGACUGUUUUGAGUUUUCACAUUUCUUGUUUUUUGUAGUCAGUUGUUCAUGUGUACCUUAACGCAUUAAAAAGAACCAUGGACACUUA